AACGAACGCUGGCGGCAUGCCUAACACAUGCAAGUCGAACGAGACCUUCGGGUCUAGUGGCGCACGGGUGCGUAACGCGUGGGGACAUGCCCUUAGGUUCGGAAUAACUCCCCGAAAGGGGUGCUAAUACCGGAUCAUGUCUUCGGACCAAAGAUUUAUCGCCUUUGGAUGUGCCCGCGUUGGAUUAGCUAGUUGGUAGGGUAAAAGCCUACCAAGGCGACGAUCCAUAGCUGGUAUGAGAGGAUGAUCAGCCACACUGAGACUGAGACACGGCCCAGACUCUUACGGGAGGCAGCAGUGGGGGAUAUUGGAAAAUGGGCGAAGGCAUGAUCCAGCAAUGCCGCGUGAGUGAUGAAGGCCUUAGGGUUGUAAAGCUCUUUUACCCGGGAUGAUAAUGACAGUACCGGGAGAAUAAGCUCCGGCUAACUCCGUG
rnacentral:rRNA from 1 species